GUGUGAAAACUCCAAAUAAACACAACCUAUAGAACAGCAAAUGCCAUCAAGUGUUUCAGAGGUGCUCAUACUGCUGCCGAACUGCAGGCUCACACCUUCAUGAUCAGUGCCAGAGCCCCAGUUCACAGCAGCUUCAAAGGUCCUUUUGAAGUGCUCCAGUACAUGUUACCUUCUCUGAAGAGGCCCUGCUGCUGCUCUCCUGCCACUGCAUCAGCAGCAGAGCUCUCUGGCUUUCCCACCUCCUAUGCAGGAGUUACCAGCUUUCAGCCACUAAUUUAACUACUGCCUUUGCUGCUCUCCUUUUCCUGUCUCGCUCCCUCCUGCAGCAGGCAAGGUGGGCUUUUUGGGUUGACUCUAGGCUGAGUCCAGCCCCUCAGACUACAGUCACCCCCUACUUACCUAUCCGAGGCUAUAGUAAAAAAACAAGAAUCAGCAAAUAGGAACUCUACCCUAGCCCAUAUCUGGUCAGCCUAUAAAGGUGUAACAGCUCAGCCUACAGCUAGGAAGGUAUAAACCAGCCUAGACUUCUAUCCCGUAUCUCCUUCCUCUGUGAUCUAUCCCAAGAGUCAAAUCAUAAUCACCUUUGGGAGGAUGAAAGGUGAGGGGGACAGUAAACAACAAAUUUGUUUAAAAGACAGGCACACGAGCAGCAGAGGAAGAAGCCGAGUGAUCCUGAAGGCCAGCCUGCUUUCAGGACACCAAGCACUGGGCAGGUGAGGUCACAAUCACUGGAGAGGUGCCACAUCUCUGCCCCUCUGUGACACGAGGCCAUAGAACCACAUGGUUCCCAAGCACACAAAAAUCCACAUGGCUCCUCUCACAGGUGGAAGUCACCAGGACUCCCCUGUGCUGCUGAUGAAGAGCUGCUCAUCUGCUGGCAUGAGCUGCAGCACUUCCAUGGUCAGAAAGCUGCUCGGCCUGCCUGAGGCCAGACACAGCCCAGCGAGAGCUCGGCCCUGCUGAUUUACCUAGAUAUGAAUAUCGAUCUAAUAUUGGUAUCCAACUGAGAUGGACAAAAACUCUCUAACAGUUUAGAGUUAGAAAGUGCAUGUUUUAUUUGGCACCGGGCACUGCGUGGGAUAGCUCCCUAAGACGCAGGGCCCCGAUCCAAGCAAACACAGUACCUUUUAUUCCCAAAUAUUAUGAAUAUCCAAAAUACAAAUGCAUAUUCAUAACAUUAACACCUCCCAUUCUCCGCUUCAUAUGGAAAUGAGCUUAAAUGUCAUUAAGCAUGCAUAGUGUGUGUCCUGAAUGGAGUCAGUGGUCUUGAAUUGGGUCAGUGGUCCCAAAAAAGAUGAAGUAACUCAUCUUCCUCACUUUGACCUUUUUGCUUCUCUGAACUUUAACAAUCCUAAUUACUUUAGUGACCUCUAAGUU
rnacentral:lncRNA from 13 species